CAGUAGCCGCGGUAAUACGUAGGGUGUGAGCGUUAAUCGGAAUUACUGGGCGUAAAGCGUGCGCAGGCGGUUAUAUAAGACAGAUGUGAAAUCCCCGGGCUCAACCUGGGACCUGCAUUUGUGACUGUAUAGCUAGAGUACGGUAGAGGGGGAUGGAAUUCCGCGUGUAGCAGUGAAAUGCGUAGAUAUGCGGAGGAACACCGAUGGCGAAGGCAAUCCCCUGGACCUGUACUGACGCUCAUGCACGAAAGCGUGGGGAGCAAACAGGAUUAGAUACCCCCGUAGUCCCUGUCUCUUAUAC
rnacentral:rRNA from 1 species